GGGGGUGUAGCUCAGUGGUAGAGUACUUGUCUAGCAUGUAUGAGGCCCUGGGUUCAAUCCCCAGCACCACAU
rnacentral:tRNA from 1 species